GCGUUUGAUAGGGCAAUUGGUAGCCCUACCGGUCUGUAAAAUCGGCGCCUUAGGCACUGUAGGUUCGAAUCCUUCCAAGCGCACCA
rnacentral:tRNA from 1 species